AUACGGAGGGUGCGAGCGUUAAUCGGAAUUACUGGGCGUAAAGCGCGCGUAGGCGGCUUGGUCAGUCGGAUGUGAAAGCCCUGGGCUCAACCUGGGAAUUGCACUCGAUACUGCCAAGCUAGAGUAUGGGAGAGGGAAGUGGAAUUUCCGGUGUAGCGGUGAAAUGCGUAGAUAUCGGAAGGAACACCAGUGGCGAAGGCGACUUCCUGGCCCAAUACUGACGCUCAGGUGCGAAAGCGUGGGUAGCGAACAGGAUUAGAAACCCUAGUAGUCC
rnacentral:rRNA from 1 species